rnacentral:rRNA from 1 species
AUGAACGCUGGCGGCGUGCCUAAUACAUGCAAGUCGAGCGAACAGAUGAGGAGCUUGCUCCUCUGACGUUAGCGGCGGACGGGUGAGUAACCCGUGGAUAACCUACCUAUAAGACUGGGAUAACUUCGGGAAACCGGAGCUAAUACCGGAUAAUAUAUUGAACCGCAUGGUUCAAUAGUGAAAGACGGUUUUGCUGUCACUUAUAGAUGGAUCCGCGCCGCAUUAGCUAGUUGGUAAGGUAACGGCUUACCAAGGCAACGAUGCGUAGCCGACCUGAGAGGGUGAUCGGCCACACUGGAACUGAGACACGGUCCAGACUCCUACGGGAGGCAGCAGUAGGGAAUCUUCCGCAAUGGGCGAAAGCCUGACGGAGCAACGCCGCGUGAGUGAUGAAGGUCUUCGGAUCGUAAAACUCUGUUAUUAGGGAAGAACAAAUGUGUAAGUAACUAUGCACGUCUUGACGGUACCUAAUCAGAAAGCCACGGCUAACUACGUG